rnacentral:rRNA from 1 species
CAGCAGCCGCGGGAAGACGAACCGUGCGAACGUUAUUCGGAAUCACUGGGCUUAAAGCGCGUGUAGGCGGAUGGGAGCGUCGGCCUCUGAAAUCCCCCGGCUCAACCGGGGAAGUGGAGCCGAAACGACCCGUCUGGAGGGACGUAGGGGGACCUGGAACUUCCGGUGGAGCGGUGAAAUGCGUUGAGAUCGGAAGGAACGCCCGUGGCGAAAGCGAGGUCCUGGACGUCUGCUGACGCUGAGACGCGAAAGCCAGGGGAGCGAACGGGAUUAGAUACCCCCGUAGUCCCUGUCUCUUAUU